CUCGUCUCCAUUACUUAUUCUCUCAAUUUCCUAAAGUACACACUUGAAAGCCAUCUAUCAUAAUUUUAAACUGAAGGGAAGAUUUCAUCUUUAAUUUUGAAUUAUGACACAAAACUAAUGGGGAGAUUUCAUCUUUAGUUUUGAAUCAAAGUGUGCCGCACUGUGCAGACACGAUAUGCUUAACAUCUGUGUUGUUUGACUUUAUUUGUGAAAAAGCAUUAGAGGCCUUCAUCAGGUGGUUGUGGGGCUUGUGUCGUUCUGGUAUCAAAGUAUGAUCCAAAGCUUAAAAAGGUUGAAGAUCUUAGCGUAAGUUCAUGCCUUACACUUCUUUGCAGUUUAAAUGGUUUUUCAAUUACUACAAGUGAAGGUCUUGGGAACACCAGAGAUGGUUUCCACUCUAUUCAUGAAAGGAUUGCCGGUUUCCAUGCUUCUCAAUGCGGCUUUUGCACUCCCGGCAUGUGUAUGUCAUUUUUCUCCGCUCUUGUCAACGCCGAUAAAGGAAACAAGCCAGAUCCUCCACCGGGAUUCUCUAAGCUUAAUUCGUCCGAAGCUGAAAAGGCCAUAGUAGGGAACCUUUGUCGGUGUACUGGAUACCGGCCCAUUGCUUAUGCCUGCAAGUCUUUUGCUGCUGAUAUUGAUAUAGAGGAUUUGGGGCUCAAUUCUUUUUGGAAAAACGGAGAUUCCAAGGAAAUGAAAGUAAGUAAAUUACCUCCCUAUGAUCCAAACAAGAAUUUAAGUACAUAUCCCAAGUUCUUGAAAAGUGAAUCUGCCACGAUUUUGGACUCCUCAAGGUACCCUUGGUACAGUCCUGUUUCCAUUGAGGAGCUACGGAGCUUGUUGUACUCCAAUGUGACGGAAAUUGGUACAAGCUUUAAACUUGUCAUUGGUAAUACUGGCAGUGGUUAUUAUAAGGAAACUCAACGAUAUGAUCAUUACAUUGAUCUCAGGCAUGUUCCUGAACUCUCAAUAAUCAAAAGAAAUCAAACAGGCAUUGAAGUCGGAGCAACUGUGACUGUCUCUACAUUCAUUUCUUUCUUGAAAGAGGAAAGUAAAAUCAAUUUUGGUUCAUAUGGAAAGUUGGUGUCUGAUAAACUGGCUUACCACAUGGAGAAGAUUGCUUCACCAUUUGUGAGAAACUCUGCUAGUGUGGGAGGAAAUUUGGUUAUGGCACAGAAGAAUGGUUUUCCUUCAGAUAUUGCUACAUUAUUUCUCGGGCUUUGUGCUACUGUUAGCUUGAUAACUGGACAUGGAUUUGAAAACCUCACAUGGGAAGAGUUACCAUUGAGACCACCACCAGACUCGAGGACUGUACUUCUAACUGUUUCUAUCCCAUUUAAGAAAGAUCAAAAUUCUAAAUUUUUGUUUGAAGCCUAUCGAGCUGCUCCACGACCUUAUGGAAAUGCAUUGGCAUAUAUAAAUGCUGCUUUCCGGGCUGAUGUUUCUCUCUGCCAGAACAGCUUCAGGAUAAACAAUAUCCGGUUGGCAUUUGGUGCUUAUGGCACUAAAUAUGCAACAAGGGCUAAAAAGGUAGAGAAAUAUCUAACUGGGAAAAUGUUAAACGUACAUAUUUUAUAUGAAGCACUAAAAUUAAUCAAACUAGCAGUGGUACCGGAAGAUGGCACUUUGCACCCUGAGUACAGAUCAAGCUUGGCUGUCAGUUUUGUUUUUGAGUUUCUUUAUCCCUUAACUGAUGCUCAUUCUGUUAUUUCUGGUGGCUUACACAAUGGAAUUAAUGACAUCUCAGUCGAGGAAGUCUUCAAAAGUAGUAAAGAUGGAUGCAUCAGUCAGGGGAAAAAACAAACACUACUGUUUUCUGCUAAGCAGGUUAUGGAAUCUAGUACUGAGUACUAUCCAGUAGGUGAACCGAUGAUGAAGGUCGGACCUGCCAUGCAAGCUUCUGGUGAAGCUGUUUAUGUAGAUGACAUCCCUUCACCACCAAACUGCCUACAUGGAGCAUUUAUCUACAGUAGAAACCGUUAGCUGGUGUAAAAGGAAUCCAGCUCAAGUCUAAUCAAUUAACAAAUGGAGUCACCGAGGUUAUAACUUGUAAAGAUAUCCCAAGUGGAGGGGAAAAUGUAGGAGUUAUUACAAGGUUUGAUCCUGAGCCCUUAUUUGCAGAUGAUCUCGUCCGAUGCGUAGGUGACAGAAUCGCAAUUGUGGUUGCUGACAGUCAGAGGUCUGCUGAUGUGGCUGCAAGAACGGUCCUUGUUGAAUACGAUACUGAUGAUAUAGAUUCACCCAUUUUAACCGUCGAGGAUGCUGUUGAAAAAUCUAGCUUUAUCAAAAUCUCACCAUUUCUGUAUCCAAAACAAGUCGGUGAUUUCUCGAAAGGAAUGGCUGAAGCUGAUCACAAGAUUUUCUCUGCUGAGGUAAGACUUGGUUCCGAGUACUAUUUUUAUAUGGAGACACAGACUGCCCUAGCAAUUCCAGAUGAAGACAACUGCAUGGUUGUUUAUACUUCAAGCCAGUGCCCUGAGAGAGCACAAUAUAUGAUCGCCACUUGUCUUGGUAUUCCUGAACACAGUAUCCGUGUAAUUACCAGAAGAGUCGGAGGUGGCUUUGGGGGCAAGGCAAUCAAAUCAAUGCCAAUCUCUGCAGCCUGUGCACUUGCAGCAUACAAGUUAAGGCAACCUGUCAGGAUAUAUGUCAACCGGAACAGUGACAUGGUAAUGACAGGAGGAAGACACCCAAUGAAAGUAACAUAUAGUGUAGGAUUCAAGUCGAGUGGAAAGAUCACAGCAUUGCAUCUUGAUCUAUUGAUAAAUGCUGGGAUCUCGGACGAUGUAAGUCCCACCAUACCAUUAAAUGUGAUUAAAGCACUAAAGAAAUAUGAUUGGGUGCCUUAUCUUUCGAUGUAAAACUAUGCAAGACAAGUCUUACUAGCAAAUCGGCUAUGCGGCCCCCUGGGGAGGUGCAGGGAUCUUAUAUUGCCGAAGCUAUAAUAGAACAUGUAUCAAGUUCACUGUCGAUGGAGGUGGACUCGGUCAGAAAUAAAAAUGUUCAUACAUUUGAAAGUCUUAAUUUGGUCUAUGAUAACAUUGUAUCAGUAGGAGAAUAUACAAUGCCUAGUAUCAUGGAUAAGUUGGCUGUGUCCUCAAACUUUUUUCAACGUAGCAAGAUGAUAGAACAGUUCAACCAGAAAAGCACAUGGAAGAAAAGGGGUAUCUCCCGAGUACCAAUCGUGUAUUAAGCUAUAGAACAAUCGAAACCAGGAAAAGUCAGUAUUCUGCAAGACGGAUCAAUUGUUGUAGAGGUAGGAGGGAUUGAGAUUGGCCAAGGGUUAUGGACAAAGGUUAAGCAGAUGACUGCCUAUUCUCUUGGUUUAAUCGAAAGCAGUUGGGCCGAAGAACUUGUGGAGAAAAUACGAGUCAUACAAGCAGAUACCUUAAGCAUAGUGCAAGGUGGGUAUACAGCUGGGAGCACUACAUCGGAAUCAAGUUGUGAAGCUGUUAGACUUUGCUGUAAUGUCUUGGUUGAAAGGUUGAGUCCUCUUAAGAAAAAGUUACAGGAACAAAAUGUCUCUGUUGAUUGGCCAACACUGAUUCGCCAGUUCUGUCCCUCCACCCCCUUCUUUUUGCAGGCACAAAUGGAAUCAGUAAACUUAGCAGCAAAUUCUUAUUAUGUACCAGAAUCUGAUUUUACGAGUUAUUUGAACUUUGGUGCUGCUGUCAGUGAGGUGGAGAUUGAUAUCCUGACCGGAGAGACUACCAUUUUGCAAUCUGAUAUUAUUUACGACUGUGGGCAGAGCUUGAAUCCAGCCGUUGAUAUGGGACAGAUUGAAGGGGCUUUCGUUCAAGGAAUCGGAUUUUUCAUGAACAAAGAGUAUCUUACAAACGAAGAUGGGUUAAUGGUCUCGAAUAGUACAUGGACAUACAAGAUCCCAACAAUUGACACCAUACCUCGAAAUUUCAAUGUUCAUGUGGUAAACAGAGGACACCACGAAAAACGUGUUCUCUCCUCUAAAGCAUCUGGUGAGCCACCGUUGCUUCUGGUAGUCAGCGUCCAUUGUGCAGCACGAGCAGCGGUUAAAGCAGCACGUGAACAGCUCAAACAAUGGGACAAGCUUGACGGGUCUGUUUCAGAAUUCUAUCUGGACGUCCCCGCCAUAUUACCCGUUGUGAAGACACAACGGUUAAAUAUUGUUUUUCUUUAAAUCUUCUUAUUAAAAGAAUAAGUUUCUUUUGUUUUUCUGUCAAUAUCAAACCUCAACGUAUAUUUUUGAUCGUUUAGCAAUAAAAAUAACGUUGUAAAGAUUAAA